GACGAACGCUGGCGGCAUGCCUAAUACAUGCAAGUCGAGCGAACAGAUGAAGUGCUUGCACUUCUGACGUUAGCGGCGAACGGGUGAGUAACACGUAAGGAAUCUACCUAUAAGCGGGGGAUAACAUUCGGAAACGGGUGCUAAUACCGCAUAAUAUCUUCUUCCGCAUGGAAGAAGAUUGAAAGACGGCUCUGCUGUCACUUAUAGAUGACCUUGCGGUGCAUUAGUUAGUUGGUGGGGUAAUGGCCUACCAAGACGAUGAUGCAUAGCCGACCUGAGAGGGUGAUCGGCCACAUUGGGACUGAGACACGGCCCAUACUCCUACGGGAGGCAGCAGUAGGGAAUCUACCGCAAUGGGCGAAAGCCUGACGGAGCAAUGCCGCGUGAGUGAAGAAGGCCUUCGGGUCGUAAAACUCUGUUAUAAGAGAAGAACAAAUUGUAGAGUAACUGCUACAGUCUUGACGGUAUCUUAUCAGAAAGCCACGGCUAACUACGUGCCAGCCGCCGCAGUAA
rnacentral:rRNA from 1 species